AUUGAACGCUAGCGGGAUGCUUUACACAUGCAAGUCGAACGAGUGGCGGACGGGUGAGUAAUAUAUCGGAACGUGCCCAGUUGCGGGGGAUAACUACUCGAAAGAGUGGCUAAUACCGCAUACUCUUGUAGCGGCCGAUAUCGGAUUAGCUAGUUGGUUGGGUAAAGGCUCACCAAGGCAACGAUCCGUAGCUGGUUUGAGAGGACGGCCAGCCACACUGGUACGGAACUACGGCACAGACUCAUACGGGAGGCAGCAGUGGGGAAUGGUGGACAAUGGAGUGAACGCUGAUCCAGCCAAGCCGCGUGGAUGUGAGGGCCUUCGGGUAGGAAAGGAAAUUUGGCAGAAUAGAGGUAUCAGAUGAAUAAGCAUCGGCUAACUACGUGCCAGCAGCCGCGGUAAUUC
rnacentral:rRNA from 1 species